GACAUCGCUUGUAUAGGAAAAAGAGUACCAAAGACCCAGAUUUUGACAUCAUUUCCUGGUUGAACAAGAUGAAGCAGAGUAAUAAAUGGGUAGGCUUUACCUGAUUGGCUGAAUUGAGGUAUGUAAAUAUUUUCAUUUUAAAGUAAAAAUAUUAAUGUUUGAAAUAAAUGUUGGAAUGUGGGAAUAUUACAAAAAUUCUAGAAACACCAGGGGAGAUUGUAAGAGGGGGGAUUGAUAUUUUUGGCAGGGUGUCAUUUACUGCCGAUCUCUGUAAGUUCUAAAUAACUGCAAAUUUGACCUAUAAACGCCACGGAACGGUAUAUUUUUUUUCGUGUUUUUAAUAAGUGCUUAGAACGAACUUUCAAAUAAUACCAGUGAUUUGUUUGAACGGGAAUUAGUAAAUUACUUGGAGGGCAAAAGCUUCCUGGACCCGGGAGAGCUUGGUAUCUCAUCGGCGGGGGGCAUUUUCUCUAUAUAAGAAGAAGAUGGAGACUCGCUACCCACCUGAUAUAUUUUGUCGGACAGAUUUCUGUACAUUGCAGUGACAGCUGUAUCCAGAUUUCAUCACAGGAAUGAAAGUUUUUCACUCUUUGGAAAAGCACCUGCAGCAGGGAGGGGACAUUCAUUAAGAUGGCCACAGAUUCCAAGUCACUGAAGUGACAGGCCUCAAAUUUCAUACAUGUAUAUUGGUAAGUAUAAGGUCUUUGAAAAUUACAAAAUUGACUAAUUCUGGGAUAGGUAAAUAUGUAAGUAUAGGAAAAAGAGUACCAAAGACCCAGAUUUUGACAUCAUUUCCUGGUUGAACAAGAUGAAGCAGAGUAAUAAAUGGGUAGGCUUUACCUGAUUGGCUGAAUUGAGGUAUGUAAAUAUUUUCAUUUUAAAGUAAAAAUAUUAAUGUUUGAAAUAAAUGUUGGAAUGUGGGAAUAUUACAAAAAUUCUAGAAACACCAGGGGAGAUUGUAAGAGGGGGGAUUGAUAUUUUUGGCAGGGUGUCAUUUACUGCCGAUCUCUGUAAGUUCUAAAUAACUGCAAAUUUGACCUAUAAACGCCACGGAACGGUAUAUUUUUUUUCGUGUUUUUAAUAAGUGCUUAGAACGAACUUUCAAAUAAUACCAGUGAUUUGUUUGAACGGGAAUUAGUAAAUUACUUGGAGGGCAAAAGGUUUGUAUAGAGUUCUAUGGGAAAUUAAUUGGUACUCUUUUCCCUACAGGUGUUACAUGAAACCGAACG